rnacentral:lncRNA from 1 species
AAAUUACGGAACCCCCAUGUCAAAACACGAUUUUUCACUUUCCUUCCCUAUCAUUUAAAAACCUACACUUUGCCCCCUUGUAAAAUAAAAAAUGUUCACAGGGAGGUACGGUGUGUACUGUGAUAAUAAAAUGACCAUUUUGCCCCUCUCACCAUUGAUGUCUCCUCCCUCAUCUUCCUUAACAGCAGCCUCGAUCGGCCGCGGUUUACACCUCAAUCGGCUGCGAUUUCUCUCCAUUUUCUUCUCCACCUACUCCCCUCUCCUCCUGCACCCUCGCCGCCCCUCGAUUUCGGCGACAGUAGGGUGAAAAUCGAGGUGGGGGUGGAUGGAGAGGUGUAACGGCAACGAGGACGAAGACGAGGCGGCGAAGGAGGGCGAAGGGGUGUUUGUGGGCGCGGACGGGGAUGUGGGCGUGGGUGAGGGCGAGGCAGUGGAGGAGGGCGAGGCGACGAGGCGGCGAAGCAACAGGGAAGGAGACAGAGGGGUAUUUUUAGUAUAAAAAAAUAUUUUAUAAUGGAGGCCUAACAGAUCACUAACGGUAAGAGACAAAAUGCACAUUAUUCAUUUUACAAUGGGGUAAGUGUAGAUUUUUAAAUGACAGGAGGGAAAAGUGAAAAAUUGCAUUUUGAUAGGGGGGUUUUCUGUAAUUUAGCCCUAUUUGUAGGCUAUAAAUAUGAGCUUGAUCUGCUUAACUUUAAUCCUAGAGUGAGUGCUAUUUUACUUACUCUAAUACUUUGUAUAAUACUAGUAAAUUACCUGCGCGAUGCUGCGGAUAUAAAAUUAUUUUUAUAAUAAAUUAUAUAUUUUUUAAUAUUUUUAUAUAGUUUUAUAAGUCUAAUUAUUAAUUAAAUAAAAAAUUAUAUAAAAAUAAUUAUGCGCAAAGUAAAUUUAUACAAUAAUUUAUUUUAUAAAAUUUAUAUGAAAAGAAUUUGAGAUAAAUCUAUCAAAAUAAUUUAAGAAAA